UGGGAUGAUGCUACCCUGUCAGAAGGAAUU
rnacentral:piRNA from 1 species